rnacentral:rRNA from 1 species
UACGUAGGGGGCGAGCGUUGUCCGAAGUUACUGGGCGUAAAGCGUACGUAGGCGGUUCGUUAAGUCGGAUGUGAAAGCCCUCGGCUCAACUGAGGAAGUGCACCCGAAACUGGCGAGCUUGAGUACGAAAGAGGAUCGCGGAAUUCCCGGUGUAGAGGUGAAAUUCGUAGAUAUCGGGAGGAACACCGGCGGCGAAGGCGGCGAUCUGGGUCGAUACUGACGCUGAGGUGCGAAAGCGUGGGGAGCAAACAGG